rnacentral:rRNA from 1 species
UACAGAGGUCUCGAGCGUUGUUCGGAUUCAUUGGGCGUAAAGGGUGCGUAGGCGGCGCGGUAAGUCGGGUGUGAAAUCUCGGGGCUUAACUCCGAAACUGCAUUCGAUACUGCCGUGCUUGAGGACUGGAGAGGAGACUGGAAUUUACGGUGUAGCGGUGAAAUGCGUAGAUAUCGUAAGGAAGACCAGUGGCGAAGGCGGGUCUCUGGACAGUUCCUGACGGCU